rnacentral:rRNA from 1 species
ACUGCUCAGUAACACGUGGCUAAUCUGCCCUUGGGACAAGAACAACCCCGGGAAACUGGGGCUAAUUCUCGAUAGGUGAAGAACUCUGGAAUGAGUCUUUGCCUAAAAGAGCUUGCGUUAUGCUCGUAAGUUUCGCCCAAGGAUGAGGCCGCGACCGAUCAGGUUGUUGGCGAGGUAAUGGCUCACCAAGCCUUUUACCGGUGCGGGCCGUGAGAGCGGGAGCCCGGAGAUGGGCACUGAGACAAGGGCCCAGGCCCUACGGGGCGCAGCAGUCGCGAAAACUUUGCAAUACACGAAAGUGUGACAGGGCUAUCCCGAGUGCCAUCCGCUGAGGAAGGCUUUUACCCAGUCUAGAACGCUGGGGGAAUAAGGAGAGGGCAAGUCUGGUGUCAGCCGCCGCGGUAAUACCAGCUCUCCGAGUGGUGUGGACGUUUAUUGGGCCUAAAGCAUCCGUAGCUGGCUGAUCAAGUCCCCUGUUAAACCCACCGAUUUAAUCGUUGGCUUGCGGGGGAUACUGUUCGGCUAGGGGACGAGAGAGGCAGACGGUAUUCCCGGGGUAGGGGUGAAAUCCUAUAAUCCCGAGAAGACCACCAGUGGCGAAGGCUGUCUGCUAGAACGCGCCCGACGGUGAGGGAUGAAAGCUGGGGGAGCGAACCGGAUUAGAUACCCGGGUAGUCCCAGCUGUAAACGAUGCAGGCUAGGUGUUUGGACGGCCACGCGCCGUUCUAGUGCCGCAGGGAAGCUGUUAAGCCUGCCGCCUGGGGAGUACGAUCGCAAGAUUGAAACUUAAAGGAAUUGGCGGGGGAG